GCUGAGGCUUCUAGCCAUUAAUUAGCAUGCUGGCAUUGUUUGCACGAAUCAUGCCUCCACAGCCCUGUUCUGAUGGAGCAGUGAAAAGAGCCCUUUCCAGCUUUCUUCUUCAAUACUGAGCCACUGGUUCCCCAGCUGCUCGGGAGGAUGUCAGCUCAUGGCUUGCCUACUGACUUCCUCUCUGGGAAUUGCCUUGGCCUAGGAGUGCUGCCUUCCCAGUACAGACUAACUUUGAUAACUGGUAAGGAAUUUGGCCCAGAAUUAAGUAAGAGAACAUGAAGGUAUGAUUUAAACAAUCAUGGGUUGAGAGGUAUGGAGAACUUACUAACAUUGUUCUGAGAAAUCUAUAUUAUUUGUGAUUCCAAUAGCAAGAGAAGCUUCUCAAGUGGUCAGAAAUAUUUAAAGAAUUCCUUUGAAAACUA